UAAGUACUCCCUCCGUUCUGAAUUACUUGUCGCAGAAAUGGAUGUAUCUAGAUACAUCCAUUUCUACGACAAGUAAUUCCGAACGGAGGGAGUAGGUC
rfam:Triticum aestivum genome assembly, contig: Triticum_aestivum_CS42_TGACv1_scaffold_063639_1DL